UAUUGAACGCAUAUUGCGGCCACGGGUCCGUCCUGUGGCCACGCCCGUCUGAGGGUCGGCGACGUUGUACCCAUCGCUUGGGAGGCUCUGGCCCAGCGCGUUGAGCUUUCGUAGCCCGAAAGGCUCCGUGGCUUGAAAUGCAGACCGUGAAAAGAAAAAGCAAAAACACUCGCUCGUUCGUCCUCGUGCGAGCAAAAGGACAUGGCCCGGAUCUUGACUGUCUUUGCGAGCAAGAGCGUGUUGUUGUUUUUGGCCGGCAUUUCCGACCUCAGAUCGGACGAGAUUACCCGCUGAAUUUAAGCAUAUCAC
rnacentral:rRNA from 1 species